rnacentral:rRNA from 1 species
GAUGAACGCUGGCGGCGUGCUUAACACAUGCAAGUCGAACGAGAAAUGGAGACGGAAACCUUCGGGCGGAGUGCUUCAUUUCGAGUUGCGGACGGGGGAGUAACGCGUGGGUAACCUGCCUCAUACAGGGGGAUAACAGUUGGAAACGACUGUUAAUACCGCAUAAGACCACAGCACCGCAUGGUGCGGGGGUAAAAACUCCGGUGGUGUGAGAUGGACCCGCGUUCGAUUAGCCAGUUGGCGGGGUAACGGCCCACCAAAGCGACGAUCGAUAGCCGAUCUGAGAGGAUGACCGGAAACAGAGGGACUGAGACACGGCACAACCUCCUACGGGAGGAAGGAGUGGGGAAUAAUGCACAAUGGGGGAAAUGAUGAAGCAGCGACGCCGGGUGAGUGAAGAAGUACUUAGGUAUGUAAAGUUCUAUCAGCAGGGAAGAAAAUGACGGUACCUGAGUAAGAAGCCACGGCUAACUACGUG